UACGUAGGGUGCAAGCGUUAAUCGGAAUUACUGGGCGUAAAGCGUGCGCAGGCGGUUGUAUAAGUCAGAUGUGAAAUCCCCGGGCUCAACCUGGGAACUGCAUUUGAGACUGUACGGCUAGAGUUUGGCAGAGGGGGGUGGAAUUCCACGUGUAGCAGUGAAAUGCGUAGAGAUGUGGAGGAACACCGAUGGCGAAGGCAAUCCCCUGGACCUGUACUGACGCUCAUGCACGAAAGCGUGGGGAGCAAACAGG
rnacentral:rRNA from 1 species